CAUUAGAUGACUGAAUAGCAAGUACUGGUCUCUUAAACCAUAGUAUAGUAAAUUAGCACUUACUUCUAAUGG
rnacentral:tRNA from 1 species